AAAUAAGAAGCAAUAAAUGCAUUUAAUUUCGACUUAAAAAUAUGAGAAUUUUAUUUUCUCCUUAUUUA
rnacentral:tRNA from 2 species